ACUUCAAAUCCUAUUUUUUAUACACCCACAUGUAAAUUUCUUCAUAUCUCACAAUUAAGCACUUAAAUACCACAAAAUUUGUAUCUAUAGCUUUUUAACAUAAUAUUUUACCUUCUCCAAAAGGUUUGAACCAAAAAUUCAUCCAAAAAUUCAAGAUAUGGCUCCAAUCAUUACUAUGAGCAAAAUCACUUAUUUACUGCCUUUGAUUUGGAUGCGCUGAC
rnacentral:lncRNA from 1 species